rnacentral:rRNA from 1 species
GUCCACGCCGUAACGAUGAAUACUAGGUGUAGGGUUGUCAUGACCUCUGUGCCGCCGCUAACGCAUUAAGUAUUCCGCCUGGGAGUACGGUCGCAAGAUUAAACUCAAGGAAUUGACGGGGCCCGCACAAGCAGCGGAGCAUGUGGUUUAAUUCGAAGCAACGCGAAGAACCUUACCUAGACUUGACAUCUCCUGCAUUACCCCUUAAUCGGGGAAGUUCCUUCGGGAACAGGAAGACAGGUGGUGCAUGGUUGUCGU